rnacentral:rRNA from 1 species
GUAGGCAGCAAGCGUUGUUCGGAAUUACUGGGCGUAAAGAGUGCGUAGGUGGUUGGCCAAGUUUGGUGUGAAAUCUCCCGGCUUAACUGGGAGGGUGCGCCGAAAACUGGCCGGCUAGAGUGUGGGAGAGGGAAGCGGAAUUCCAGGUGUAGCGGUGAAAUGCGUAGAUAUCUGGAGGAACGCCUGCGGUGUAGACGGCUUCCUGGACCAUGACUGACACUGAGGCACGAAAGCGUGGGUAGCAAGCAGGAUUAGAUACCCUGGUAGUCCACGCCCUAAACGAUGCAGACUUGGUGUGCGCCCUUCAUUGGGUGCGUGCCGAAGCUAACGCGAUAAGUCUGCCGCCUGGGGAGUACGGUCGCAAGGCUG